rnacentral:rRNA from 1 species
AGAGUUUGAUCCUGGCUCAGGACGAACGCUGGCUGCGUGCUUAACACAUGCAAGUCGAACGCUGAAGCCUGGUGCUUGCACCGGGUGGAUGAGUGGCGAACGGGUGAGUAACACGUGAGUAACCUGCCCCUGACUUCGGGAUAAGCCCGGGAAACUGGGUCUAAUACCGGAUACGACUGCCGGACGCAUGUCUGGUGGUGGAAAGUUUUUUCGGUUGGGGAUGGGCUCGCGGCCUAUCAGUUUGUUGGUGAGGUAAUGGCUCACCAAGACGACGACGGGUAGCCGGCCUGAGAGGGCGACCGGCCACACUGGGACUGAGACGCGGCCCAGACUCCUACGGGAGGCAGCAGUGGGGAAUAUUGCACAAUGGGGGAAACCCUGAUGCAGCGACGCAGCGUGCGGGAUGACGGCCUUCGGGUGUAAACCGCUUUCAGCAGGGAAGAAGCGAAAGUGACGGUACCUGCAGAAGAAGUACCGGCUAACUACGUGCCAGCAGCCGCGGUAAUACGUAGGGUACGAGCGUUGUCCGGAAUUAUUGGGCGUAAAGAGCUCGUAGGUGGUUGGUCACGUCUGCUGUGGAAACGCAACGCUUAACGUUGCGCGUGCAGUGGGUACGGGCUGACUAGAGUGCAGUAGGGGAGUCUGGAAUUCCCGGUGUAGCGGUGAAAUGCGCAGAUAUCAGGAGGAAC